rnacentral:rRNA from 1 species
GACGUAGGGGGCCAGCGUUGUUCGGAAUUACUGGGCGUAAAGCGCACGUAGGCGGACUGUUAAGUCAGGGGUGAAAUCCCGGGGCUCAACCCCGGAACUGCCUUUGAUACUGGCAUUCUCGAGUCCGGAAGAGGUGAGUGGAAUUCCGAGUGUAGAGGUGAAAUUCGUAGAUAUUCGGAGGAACACUAGUGGCGAAGGCGGCUCACUGGUCCGGUACUGACGCUGAGGUGCGAAAGCGUGGGGAGCAAACAGG